UACGUAGGGUCCGAGCGUUGUCCGGAGUUACUGGGCGUAAAGCGCGCGCAGGCGGCGGUGUUGGCCCGGCGUGAAAGCCCCCGGCUCAACCGGGGAGAGUCGUCGGGGACCGCACCGCUUGAGGGCGGUAGGGGCUGGUGGAAUGCCUGGUGUAGUGGUGAAAUGCGUAGAGAUCAGGCAGAACACCUGGGGCGAAGGCGGCCAGCUGGGCCGUCCCUGACGCUGAGGCGCGAAAGCUAGGGGAGCAAACAGG
rnacentral:rRNA from 1 species